rnacentral:lncRNA from 1 species
CUUGGAAGCAGGCGUUGGAGGGGCGGGGUAGGGCCGGGCCGAGAGAAACCACUGGGGAGGGUCUGGGGUCGGGGCUUUGCCAUCAGUGGUGUGAGGAGCAGGCCGGGGCAGUGGGCAAUUGAGCGAGGAACAGCUGCGGGAGGACUCCGCGGACUCCUGAGAACCAGCUUAGGGGAGCGGCGGCUUGGGGAGGUGUAGGGUGGAAUCACGAGAAAGCUCUGUGGGAGGGCCUGGUGCACAGCUCAGCUGCAGGGUGGAGCUGAGGGAAAGCCGGGCGUUCCUGGAGGAGGAGCAGGGCGAGGCUGUGGCAAAGCGCUGUGGGAGCAGAUGGGGCGGGGCUGCGGGAAAGAGCUGGAGAAGGAGGAGCCAAGCUGCACCAAGGCUGGCGGGUGAGAAUUGCGGGGGAGGAGCUAGUGCAGAGCUGGAGGAAAGAGCUGAAAGGUUGUUGGGGUGGGCAGAGGGGUAGGAGAAGCGAGACGGGGCUAGAGGAGGCGGAGCUGGGAGCGGUGAUGAAGGGGUAGCAGGGCGGGGCAGUGGGAAAGAGCUGUGGGAGGAGGAGCUGGGGGUAAGAAGCUGGGGCUGUGGCUGCAGCGGGGACUGGGUCAGAGCUUCUGGAGGAGCCGCCUGCAAGAGGAGGGCGUAGUUGUGGGAAAGAGCUGUGGGCGGAAAUGGUUAAGUGCCGGGUGGAGCAGGGGCUGGCGUCGGAAUAGCUGGGGCGGAGCUGCGGGAGGAGGAGCUGGGGGGCGGAACUGUGGGAGGAACAGCUGGGGCGGAGCUGAGGGAGGAGGAGCAGGGGGGCAGAACAGCUGGGGUGGAGCUGUGGGCGGAGCUGCAAGAGGAGAAGUUGGGGACGGACUUGCAGGAGGAAAAGCUAGGGGUGGAGCUGUGGGUGGAGUUGGGGGAGGGAGCUGAGGCCCUUCUGUGAUGCACCCUUAGGCAAGAGUCCAAACUUUCCCGCGGCGACCUAACUGCACCUCCAGUGUCUUCCCCCAGAGGGCACAGAAGCAGCAAGAAGGGCGGGAACACUUGACUGGGGUCCAUGCAGCUCUAGGCUGAGUCUUGCAGGGCUGAGCCCCCCAGGCCUGCUCUCCUGUGUCCUGGCCGCUCCGUCAGUGCCUGCCAGUGGGGUCCAGAGGGACCGUUUUUUUAACGCCUCUUUUGCAGGUAAUGAGAAACAUCCCCACUCUUAAUGUCUUGCCUCCUCCGGCCUAAGUCGCCCAGCACACAGCCCAACUUCCCUGGCAAACUUGCUUUUCAAACUCUCUUCUCUCAGUCACGGGCUCAGGUUCUGUAGUGCUGCCAUGCUUUACUCCUCUGUCCCUCCCCUUAUCUAGUCUCCCGCAUUGACUUCAUAACCAAGUUCUGGGUCCCUGCCUCUGGAGUGCCUGAUGAGACAAAACGGCUCCUCGUCCUGCAUCCCCGCUGCUACUUCCAGAAUUCAGGCCUCGUGGUCUGGAGCCUGCACUGUUCCAUGAGCCUCCUGAGCAACCUGGAGUCCUCUGUCUUUCUUCCCUCAGUGAGAUGCGCCUACUUCUCCCUGGAGAAGCUUGAGGAAGCAGAAAUGCUGGAGAUGAGGUGAGGAGGAGAGGGUCCCUCUUUAUGGGAUGUAGGCCGUAGGGCUGCAGGGGACCUUCAGAUCACCAGUUCCAAGUCCUAUGUAUGCUAGCAUCCCCUCCUGGGUUCCUUCCCCACAAGAAUGGUUGCCAGCUUCUGCCGAACACCCCAGAAUCUGCUUAGAGUGGUUUCAGAUCAUGAAUGAGGAUCCCCGGGAUGG